GAUGAAGAACGUAGCGAAAUGCGAUAAGUAGUGUGAAUUGCAGAAUUCAGUGUAUCAUCGAAUCUUUGAACGCACAUUUCGCCCCUUGGUAUUCCAUGGGGCAUGCCUGUUCGAGCGUCAUUUGUACCUUCAAGCUUUGCUUGGUGUUGGGUGUUUGUCCCGAGGGACUCGCCUUAAAGUAAUUGGCAGCCAGUGUUUGGUUUUGAAGCGCAGCACAAGUCGCGAUUCAAGGCUACACGCCCGCUUCCACAAGCCUUUUUUCACUUUUGACCUCGGAUCAGGUAGGGAUACCCGCUGAACUUAAGCAUAUCAAUAAGCGGAGGA
rnacentral:misc_RNA from 1 species